UACGUAGGGUGCAAGCGUUGUCCGGAAUUAUUGGGCGUAAAGAGCUCGUAGGCGGUUUGUCGCGUCUGCUGUGAAAACCCGAGGCUCAACCUCGGGCCUGCAGUGGGUACGGGCAGACUAGAGUGGCGGUAGGGGAGAUUGGAAUUCCUGGUGUAGCGGUGGAAUGCGCAGAUAUCAGGAGGAACACCAAUGGCGAAGGCAGAUCUCUGGGCCGUAACUGACGCUGAGGAGCGAAAGCAUGGGGAGCGAACAGG
rnacentral:rRNA from 1 species